CAAUAGCGUAUAUUUAAGUUGCUGCAGUUAAAAAGCUCGUAGUUGGAUUUCGGGUGGGAAUGGCCGGUCCGCCGUUUCGGUGUGCACUUGCUACGCCCACCUUGCUGCCGGGGACGUGCUCUUGAGUUCACGCUCGGGACACGGAGUCGGCGAGGUUACUUUGAGUAAAUUAGAGUGUUCAAAGCAGGCCUACGCUCUGAAUACAUUAGCAUGGAAUAACACGAUAGGACUCUGGCCUAUCUUGUUGGUCUGUAGGACCGGAGUAAUGAUUAAGAGGGACAGUCGGGGGCAUUCGUAUUUCAUUGUCAGAGGUGAAAUUCUUGGAUUUAUGAAAGACGAACUACUGCGAAAGCAUUUGCCAAGGGUGUCUUCAUUAA
rnacentral:rRNA from 1 species